GACGAACGCUGGCGGCGUGCUUAACACAUGCAAGUGGAGCGACGAACCGGGCUUCGGCCCGGGGCAGAGCCGCGAACGGGUGAGUAACACGUGGGUUACCUGCCCUGUUGACAGGGACAACCCGGGGAAACCCGGGCUAAUACCUGAUGUGCCCUUCGGGGAAAGGAAGCUUCGGCCUCCGCAACAGGAUGGCCGCGCGCAUUAGCUUGUUGGUGGGGUAACGGCCUACCAAGGCGACGAUGCGUAGCUGGCUGAGAGGACGA
rnacentral:rRNA from 1 species